GAUAAAAAUUAAAUGGCCGCAGUACUUCUGACUGUGCUAAGGUAGCGUGAUUCUUGUUUUCUUAAUUAGAAAUCUGUUCAAAGAAUGAUAUGGAUAGAAUCUAUUGUUUUCAUAUAAAGUGAACUUAAAAUGUUAGUGAAAAUUCUAACUAGCUCUUAAAAGACGAGAAGACCCCAUAAAGCUUAAUUUGAUCAGGUAUUAUCCUGUUUAAAAUUUAAAUGGGGACUUUAGAGUAUUAUAAUAACUUAUUGACCUAUUAAUAUAUUAAUUGAGAAGUUACUUUGGGGAUAACCAGGGUAAAAGUGUUUAGAGAGUUCUUAUCGAUAAACACAACUACUACCUCGAUGUUGGAUUAUC
rnacentral:rRNA from 1 species